rnacentral:rRNA from 1 species
AGUGAACGCUGGCGGUAGGCCUAACACAUGCAAGUCGAACGGCAGCACAGUAAGAGCUUGCUCUUACGGGUGGCGAGUGGCGGACGGGUGAGGAAUACAUCGGAAUCUACUUUUUCGUGGGGGAUAACGUAGGGAAACUUACGCUAAUACCGCAUACGACCUACGGGUGAAAGCAGGGGAUCUUCGGACCUUGCGCGAUUGAAUGAGCCGAUGUCGGAUUAGCUAGUUGGCGGGGUAAAGGCCCACCAAGGCGACGAUCCGUAGCUGGUCUGAGAGGAUGAUCAGCCACCCUGGAACUGAGACCCGGUCCAGCCUCCUACGGGAGGCAGCAGUGGGGAUUAUUGGACAAUGGGCGCAAGCCUGAUCCAGCCAUCCCGCGUGGGUGAAGAAGGCCUUCGGGUUGUAAAGCCCUUUUGUUGGGAAAGAAAAGCAGCAGGUUAAUACCCCGCUGUUCUGACGGUACCCAAAGAAUAAGCACCGGCUAACUUCGU